UGCAGUCGAACGAUGAACCUCCUUCGGGAGGGGAUUAGUGGCGAACGGGUGAGUAACACGUGGGCAAUCUGCCCUUCACUCUGGGACAAGCCCUGGAAACGGGGUCUAAUACCGGAUACGACCUCCGACCGCAUGGUCUGGUGGUGGAAAGCUCCGGCGGUGAAGGAUGAGCCCGCGGCCUAUCAGCUUGUUGGUGGGGUGAUGGCCUACCAAGGCGACGACGGGUAGCCGGCCUGAGAGGGCGACCGGCCACACUGGGACUGAGACACGGCCCAGACUCCUACGGGAGGCAGCAGUGGGGAAUAUUGCACAAUGGGCGAAAGCCUGAUGCAGCGACGCCGCGUGAGGGAUGACGGCCUUCGGGUUGUAAACCUCUUUCAGCAGGGAAGAAGCGAGAGUGACGGUACCUGCAGAAGAAGCGCCGGCUAACUACGUGCCAGCAGCCGCGGUAAUACGUAGGGCGCAAGCGUUGUCCGGAAUUAUUGGGCGUAAAGAGCUCGUAGGCGGCUUGUCACGUCGGAUGUGAAAGCCCGGGGCUUAACCCCGGGUCUGCAUUCGAUACGGGCAGGCUAGAGUUCGGUAGGGGAAGAUCGGAAUUCCUGGUGUAGCGGUGAAAUGCGCAAAUAUCAGGAGGAACACCGGUGGCGAAGGCGGAUCUCUGGGCCGA
rnacentral:rRNA from 1 species